rnacentral:rRNA from 1 species
UACGGAGGAUGCAAGCGUUAUCCGGAAUGAUUGGGCGUAAAGGGUCCGCAGGUGGCAGUGUAAGUCUGCUGUCAAAGAAUGAGGCUUAACCUCAUCAAGGCAGUGGAAACUACACAGCUAGAGUACGGUCGGGGUAGAAGGAAUUCCUGGUGUAGCGGUGAAAUGCGCAGAUAUCAGGAGGAACACCCGUAGCGAAGGCGGCACUCUGGGCCGGAACUGACGCUGAGGAGCGAAAGCGUGGGGAGCGAACAGG